rnacentral:lncRNA from 1 species
UUGAGUUUGAUGUAUCCCGGGUUCAACUUUAAGCUCAAGUAAAUUAGGUAUUAUUAGUUAACGCUUUAUAUGUUACUUUAUCUCUUUCAAAUAUUGUUGAUUUGAAUUUUUGAGUAAUAAGUAGUGACUGUUUUGUAUUUGUAUUGUUUUGCGAGGACUAAUGCUAUUGACUUUGGUGUUUAACGUGAUCAAGCUCAAGUUACUUAGGUAUUAUUAGUUAAUGCCUUAUGUUGUAAUUUGUCUUUUUUAAAUUAUACUGAUUUAAAUUUUAAGUAAUGAGUAGUGACUAUUUUGCAUUUGUUUUUUUUUGCGAGGACUUAUGCUAUUGACUAAAGGACUCGAUUGGAUGUACCUCGUUAAUUGCGAUGCCUAUGCCUAGGUACUUUCAAAUAUAUAUUUUCACACUUUUAAAUAUUGACUUACGGAACAUUUUGCUUAAAUGUUAGAUGUAUUUUGGACCGUAAUUAACUUGGUUUGAAUUCCCCGGGUUCAACUUUAAGCUCAAGUACAUUAGGUAUUAUUAGUUACGCCUUAUGUGUUACUUUAUCUGUUUUAAAUAUUUUGAUUAUAUUUUUUGAGUAAUAAGUAAGUUACUGUUUUGUAUUUGUAUUGUUUUUGCGAGACUAAUUCUAUUGUCCUUUGGUGUUUAAUAUGAAUCAUGCUCAAGUUAAUUAGGUCUUAUUUGUUAAUGUUCCUUAUGUUUGUAUUCUCUCUUGAAAUUGACUUAUUUAAUUUUAAGUAAUGAGUGAGUGCUAUUUUGCAUUUGUUUUGUUUUGCGAGAAUUUAUGCUAUUACUAAAUGACUCGAUUGGAUGUACCUCUUAAUGCAUGCCUAUGCCUAGGUACUUUCAAAUACAUUUUUCUACAGCCUUUACUUAUUGAGGUACGUGACCAUUUGGCUUUAAAUGUUGUUUGAUCUUGGACUGUAAUUAACUUGAGUUUGAUUAUCCCGGUUUCAACUUAAGCUCAAGUAAUAGGUAUUAUUAGUUAACGCCUUUAUGUGUUACUUUAUCUCUUUCAAAUAUUGUUUGAUUUGAUUUUUGAGUAAUAAGUAGUGACUUUUUGUCUUUGUAUGUUUGGGGGCUAGGACUAUUGCUAUGACUUUGGUGUUUAAAUUAUCAGCUCAAGUUACUUAGUAUUCUUAGUUAAUGCCUUCUGUUGGUAAUUUGUCUUUUUUAAAUUAUACUGAUUUAAAUUUUAAUUAUGAGUAGUGACUAUUUUGCAUUUGUUUUGUUUUGCGAGGACUUAUGCUAUUGACUAAGGACUGCGAUUGGAAUGUACCCGUAAGUUGCGAUCCAUGCCUAGGUACUUUCAAAUAAUAUUUCCACAUUUUUAAAUAUUGAGGUAACUAACAUUUGCUUUAAUGUUUGUAUCUGUAUCUUGGACCGUAACUAACUUGAGUUUGAACUUCCCUGGGUUCCACUUUAACUCAAGUAAAUUAGGUAUUAUUAGUUAACGCUUUUGUGUUACUUUAUCUCUUUCAUAAUGUUGAUUUGAUUUUUGAGUAAUAAGUAGUGACUGUUUUGUAGUUUUAUAUUGUUUUUGCGUGAGGACGGGAAUAUAUUGACUUGGUGUUUAACAUGAUCAAGCUCAAGUUACUUAGGUAUUUAUUAGUUAAUGCCUUAUGUUUAAUUUGUCUGUUUGAAAUUAUACUGAUUUAAAUUUUAAGUAAUGAUAUGACUAUUUUGCAAUUUGUUUUGUUUUGUGAGGACUUCUGGUAUUGACCAAGGACUCGUUGGUGUACCUCGUUAAUUGCGAUGCCUAUGCCAAGUACUUUCAAUACAUAUUCGACACCUUUAAAUAUUGAGGUACCGUAACAUUUGCGUUAAAUGUUUUGUAUGUUUAAUCUUAGCCCGUAAAUUACUUGAGUUUGAAGUUCCUCGGGUUCACUUUAAAGCUCAAUGUAAAAUAGGUAUUGUUAGUUACCGCCUUUGUUGUACUUUAUCUUCUUCAAAUCAUGUUGAUUUGAAUUUUUUGCGUAGAAGUAGUGACUGUUUUGUAGUUCUAUUGUUUUGCGAGGACGAAUGCUAUUGAAUUUGUGUUUAACAGAUCAAGCUCAAGUUACUAGGUAUUAUAUUGAAUGCCUUUGUUGUAAUUUGUCUUUUUGAAAUUAUACUGAUUUAAAAUUUUUAAGUAAUGAGUAGUGGCUAUUUGCAUUGGUUUGUUUUGCGAGGACGUAUGCUAUUGACUAAAGGACUCGAUUGGUGUACCUCGUUAAUUGGCGAUGCCUAUGCCUAGGUUACUUUCAAAACAUUUUUGCACACUUUUAAAUAUUGAGGUACGUAACAUUUUGGGUCUUUUAAAUGUUGCAAUGAAUCUUGGACGUAAUUACUUGAUUUUGAACUUCCCCGGAUUCAACUUUAGCGCAAGCAAAUUUAGUAUUAUUAGUUAACGCUUUUGUGGUUACUUUUAUCUGUUUUAAAUAAGUUGAUUUAUAUUUUUGCGUAAUAAGUAGUUACUGUUUUGUUAUGGUAUUGUUUUGCGAGGACUAUGCUAUUGCUUUGGUGUUUAACAUGAUCAAGCACAAGUUCUUAGGUAUUUUAUUAAUGCCUUAUGUUGUAAUUGUCUUUUUGACAUUGUACUGAUUUAAAUUUAAGUAUGAGUAGUGACUAUUUUGCAUUUGUUUGUUUUGCGAGGACUUAUGCGAUUGACUAAAGGACUCGAUUGGAUGUACCUCGUUAAUUGCGAUGCCUAUGCCUAGGUACUUUCAAAUACAUAUUUCCACACUUUUAAAUAUUGAGGUACGUAACAUUUGCUUUAAAUGUUGUAUAUGUACUUGGACCGUAAUUAACUUGAGUUUGAUGUUUCCCGGUUCAACUUUAAGCUCUAGUAAAUUAGUUAUUAUUAGUUAACCCUUUUAUUGUUACUUUUAUCUCUUUCAAAUUUUUUUUAUUUGCCUUUUUGCGUGCCUCCGUCGUUCCUGUUUUGUCUUUUUUACUUGUUUUUUGGGCGCGUCUACUGCUCCUUAUCCUUUGUGUUUUUCCCCUUCUCCCUCUCCCUUUCCUUUCGUUCUUCUUCUUUCCCUGCCUAUUGUUGUAUUUGUCUUUUUUAAAUUAUACUGAUUUUAAAUUUUUAAGUAAUGAGUAGUUACUAUUUUGCAUUUGUUUUUUUUUGCUAUGCCUUAUGUCUAUUGACCCAGGACUCUGAUUGGAUGUACCUCGUUAAUUGCGAUGCCUAUGCCUAGGUACUUUCAAAUACAUAUUUUCACAACUUUAAUAUUGACGUUACGGAACAUUUGCCUUUAAAUGUUAUAUGUAUUUUGGACCGUAUUAACUUGAGUUUGGAAGUUUCCCCGGGUUCAACCUUUAAGCUCCAAGUACAUAGGUAUUUAUUAGUUUAACGCCUUCUGUGUUUACUUUAUCUUUUUUAAAUAAUGUUUCUUAUAUUUUUCCUUGAAUAAGUAGUUUACUUGUUUGUAUUUGUAUUGUUUUGGCGAGGACUAAUGCUAAUGACUUUGGUGUUUAAUAUGAUCAAGCUCAAGUUAAUUAGGUAUUAUUUGUUAAUGCCUCUUAUGUUGUAAUUUCUCUCUUUGAAAUUGUACUUAUUUAAGUUUUAAGUAAUGAGUAGUGGCUAUUUUGAAUUUGUUUUGUUUUGCGAGAAUUUAUGCUAUUGACUAAAGGACUCGAUUGGAUGUACCUCGUUAAUUGCGAUGCCUAUGCCUAGGUACUUUCAAAUACAUAUUUCCACACCUUUAAUUAUUGAGGUACGUAACAUUUGCUUUAAAUGUUGUAUAUGUAUCUUGGACCGUAAUUAACUUGAGUUUGAUGUAUCCCGGGUUCAACUUUAAGCUCAAGUAAAUUAGGUAUUCUUAGUUAACGCCUUAUGUUUGUACUUUAUCUCUUUCAAAUAAGUUGAGUGAAUUUUUGUUAGUCAUAAGUAGUGCCUUUUUUUGUAUUUUUUUAUUUUUUUUGCUCUUACUCCUACUCUUUCCUUUUUUGUUUAAACAUGAUCAAGCCUCACGUUACUUAGGUUUUAUAGUUUAAUUCUUAUGUUGUAAUUUGUCUUUUUGAAUUAUACUGAUUUAAAUUUUUAAGUAAUGAGUCGUGGCUAUUUGGCUUUGUUUUGUUUUGCGAGGACUUCUGCUAUUGACUUAAAGGACUCGAUUGGAGUACCUCGUUAAUUGCGAUGCCUAUACCUAGGUACUUUCAAAUACAUAUUUCACACUGUUAAAUAUUGAAGUACGUAACAUUGUUUUUUAAAUGUUGGGUAUAUGUAUUUUGAACGCGUAAUUACACUUGAGUUGUUGAGGUUCCCGGGUUCAACUUUUAUCGCUCAGGUAAAUUAUUUCUUAUUAAGUUCACUCUUUAUUUUGUUCCUUUAUCUCUUUCAAAUAUUUUGAUUUGAAUUAUUGAGUAUAAGUUGAUUGUUUUGUAUUUUGUAUUGUUUUGUCGAUGACUAUCCGCUUGACUUUUGGUGUUUAACAUGAUCAAGCUCACGUUACUUAUGUAGUAUUAGUUUAAAGCCUUAUGUGUUAAUUUGUCUUUUUGAAAUUAUACUGAUUUAAAUUUUAAGUAAUGAUAAGUGACUAUUUUGCAUUUGUUUUUGGUUUUGCUAGGACUUAGGCGAUUGCUAAAGGACUCGAUUGGAUGUACCUCGUUAUUCGAUGCCUAUGCCUAGGUACUUUCAAAUACAUAUUUCCACACUUUUAAAUAUUGAGGUACGUACAUUUUGCUUUAAAUGUUGUAUAUUUGUAUCUUUGACCGUACUUAACUUGUAGUUUGAUUUUUUCCCGGGUUCAACUUUAAGCUCAAUAAAUUAGGUAUUAUGUUAACGCUUAUGUGUUUAUGUUCUCUUUCAAAUUGUUGAGUGCCUUUUUGUCGUCCUCCGUCGUGCCUGUUUUGUAUUGUAUGGUUUUGCGAGGACCAAUGCUAUUGACUUUGGUGUUUAACAUGAUCAAGCUCAGUUACUUAGGUAUUUAUUAGUUAAUGCCUUAUGUUUGUAAUUUGUCUUUUGAAAUUAUACUGAUUUAAAUUUUAAGUAAUGCAGUAUUGACUAAUUUGCAUUUGUUUUUGUUGUUGCCGAGUACUUAACAAUUGACUAAAGGACUCGAUUGGAUGUACCUCGUUAAUUGCGAUGCCUAUUCCUAGGUAACUUCAAAUACAUAAUUUUUACUUUUAAAUAUUGAGUCUAACAUUUGUUUAAAUGUUGUGUAUAUGUAUUUUGGAACCGUAAUUAACUUGAGUUUUUUGAAGUUCCCCGGGUGUCAACUUUCAGCUUUAGUAAAUUAUGUAUAUUAGUUAACGCUUUAUGUGUUACUCCUUUGUCUCUUCAAUAAUGUUGAUUUGAAUUAUGAUUAAUAAUUAGUGACUGGUUUUGUAUUUGUAUUGUUUUUUUGCGAGGACUAAAGCAUUGACUUUGGAUGUUUAAUAUGAGCAAGCUCAAGUUAUUAGGUAUUAUUUGUUAAUGUCUUAUGUUGUAAUUUCUCUCUUUGAAAUUGUACUGAUUUAAAUUUUCAGUAAUGAGUAGUGACUAUUUUGCAUUUGUUUUGUUUUGCGAGGACUUAUGCUAUUGGACUAAAGGACUCGUUGGAUGUACCUCGUAAUUGCGAUGUCCUAUACCUAGGUACUUUCAAAUACAUAUUUUCACACUUUUAAUAUUGAGGUCGUAACAUUUGUUUUAAAUGUUGUUAUGUAUCUUGACCGAUAAGAACUUUAGUUUGAACUUCCCGGGUUCAACUUUAAGCUCAAGUAAAUUAGGUAUUAUUAGUUAACGCGUUAGUGUUACUUUGUCCUUUCAAAUAAGGUGAUUUGAAUUAUUGAGUAAUAAUUUUUGUGAUUUUUUUGUUUGUAUUUGUAUUGUUUUGGCGAGGACUAAUGCUAUUGACUUUGGUGUUUAACAUGAUCAAGCUCAGUUUACUUACGUAUUAUUAGUUAAUUCCUUAUGUUGUAAUUUUUCUUUUUUGAAAUUAUCCUGAUUUAAUUUUUAAGUAAUUAAGUAAUUUGCUAAUUUGGCAUUUUGUUUUUGUUUUGCGAGGACUUAUUGCUAUUGACUAAAGGACUCGAUUUGGAUGUACCUCGUUAAUUGCGAUGCCUAUGCCUAUGUCUUUCAAAUACAAUAUUUCACACUUUUAAAUAUUGAGGUACGUAAACUUUGCUUUAAAUUUUAUAUGUGUAUCUUGAACCGUAUUAACUUGAGUUUGAUGUUCCCCGGGUG